rnacentral:rRNA from 1 species
CGCGGCCUAUCAGCUUGUUGGUGAGGUAACGGCUCACCAAGGCCACGACGGGUAGCUGGUCUGAGAGGACGAUCAGCCACACUGGGACUGAGACACGGCCCAGACUUCUACGGGAGGCAGCAGUAGGGAAUCUUGCGCAAUGGGCGAAAGCCUGACGCAGCAACGCCGCGUGGGGGAUGACGGCUUUCGGGUUGUAAACCCCUUUCAGCAGGGACGAAACUGACGGUACCUGCAGAAGAAGCCCCGGCCAACUACGUGCCAGCAGCCGCGGUAACACGUAGGGGGCAAGCGUUGUCCGGAAUUAUUGGGCGUAAAGAGCUCGUAGGUGGUUCGGUAAGUCAGGUGUGAAAGGCUGGGGCUCAACCCUAGGACCGCACCUGAUACUGCUGUGACUCGAGUCCGGUAGAGGAGUGUGGAAUUCCUGGUGUAGCGGUGAAAUGCGCAGAUAUCAGGAGGAACACCAGCGGCGAAGGCGGCACUCUGGGCCGGUACUGACACUGAGGAGCGAAAGCGUGGGGAGCAAACAGGAUUAGAUACCCUGGUAGUCCACGCCGUAAACGUUGGGCACUAGGUGUGGGGUCUUAUCAACGGAUUCCGCGCCGUAGCUAACGCAUUAAGUGCCCCGCCUGGGGAGUACGG